GCUGGCGGCAGGCCUAACACAUGCAAGUCGAGCGGCCGUAGCAAUACGGCAGCGGCASACGGGAGAGUAACACGUGGGAACGCGCCCUUCGGUCCGGGAUAACCCAGGGAAACUUGGGCUAAUACCGGAUACGCCCUUACGGGGAAAGAUUUAUUGCCGAAGGAACGGCCCGCGUCCGAUUAGCUAGUUGGUGAGGUAACGGCUCACCAAGGCGACGAUCGGUAGCUGGUCUGAGAGGAUGACCAGCCUCACUGGGACUGAGACACGGCCCAGACUCCUACGGGAGGCAGCAGUGGGGAAUAUUGGACAAUGGGCGCAAGCCUGAUCCAGCCAUGCCGCGUGGGUGAUGAAGGCCCUAGGGUUGUAAAGCCCUUUCAGCGGGGAAGAUAAUGACGGUACCCGCAGAAGAAGCCCCGGCUAACUUCGUGCCAGCAGCCGCGGUAAUACGAAGGGGGCUAGCGUUGCUCGGAAUUACUGGGCGUAAAGCGCACGUAGGCGGCUUUCUAAGUCGGGGGUGAAAUCCUGGAGCUCAACUCCAGAACUGCCUUCGAUACUGGAGAGCUCGAGUCCGGGAGAGGUGAGUGGAACUGCGAGUGUAGAGGUGAAAUUCGUAGAUAUUCGCAAGAACA
rnacentral:rRNA from 1 species